rnacentral:rRNA from 1 species
GAUGAACGCUAGCGGCAGGCCUAACACAUGCAAGCCGAGCGGUAGAGUUUCUUCGGGAACUUGAGAGCGGCGCACGGGUGCGUAACACGUGUUCAACCUACCUUUAUCUGGGGGAUAGCCUUUCGAAAGGAAGAUUAAUACCCCAUAAUAUAAUGAUUGGCAUCAAUUAUUAUUGAACACUCCGGUGGAUAGGGAUGGGCACGCGCAGGUUUAGAUAGUUGGUGAGGUAACGGCUCACCAAGUCAAUUAUGUAUAGGUGUCCUGAGAGGAAGAUCCGCCAAAAUGGGACUGAGACACGGACCAGACUACUAAGGGAGGCAGAAGUGGGGAAUCUUAGACAAUGGGGGAAACCAUGAGAUAGCCAUGCCGCGGGAGCGAGGAAGGCUUUAGGGUUGGAAAGAUAUUUCAACGGGGAAGAUAAUGACGGUAACCGGAGAAGAAGCCCCGGAUAACUCAGUG